UACGUAGGGUCCGAGCGUUUGUCCGGAAUUAUUGGGCGUAAAGAGCUCGUAGGCGGUUUGUCGCGUCUGCUGUGAAAUCCCGAGGCUCAACCUCGGGCCUGCAGUGGGUACGGGGCAGACUGGAGUGCGGUAGGGGAGAAUGGAAUUCCUGGUGUAGCGGUGGAAUGCGCAGAUAUCAGGAGGAACACCGAUGCGAAGGCAGUUCUCUGGGCCGUAACUGACGCUGAGGAGCGAAAGCGUGGGGAGCGAACAGG
rnacentral:rRNA from 1 species